rnacentral:rRNA from 1 species
UACGUAGGGUGCAAGCGUUGUCCGGAAUUAUUGGGCGUAAAGAGCUCGUAGGCGGUUUGUCGCGUCUGCUGUGAAAACUCGGGGCUCAACCUCGGACUUGCAGUGGGUACGGGCAGACUAGAGUGUGGUAGGGGAGACUGGAAUUCCUGGUGUAGCGGUGGAAUGCGCAGAUAUCAGGAGGAACACCGAUGGCGAAGGCAGGUCUCUGGGCCAUUACUGACACUGAGAAGCGAAAGCAUGGGGGAGCGAACAGG